rnacentral:lncRNA from 1 species
AGCCAUCUCCCCUCAAAACAGGUAAUGUGCUCUUGAGAAUAGACAGCUAAAUAAGAACUACAACAAAUCAAAGACCUCCGACAAGUAUGGAAUGCAUCUGUCGACGUGCUGCUCUUCCGAGAUGCUCUCAGGGGAUGAGAAGUAGCUUGCACAGCAACGUAUCGCGCCUGGUGCUUGGCACAUCUUACUCAAACAGAUCAGCGUGCAGCCGACAAAGAUCGGUUCGCCCUCGAAGCGAUGCAAGUAGGAGAGGGGUCAGUCUCUUUCCAAAAAUGCAUUGUCUGAGAGCUGUAAAUAGAUAAAUUGGGGCCUUCUGCAUUUAAGAUUCGUGCAGAGAAGAUGGCAUGUUGAGAAUGAGCCAAAUUGGCAGGUACUAAAGGAACAGAUAAUCUCGACCCUGAUUGGAGGAGCAGCGCUUGCAGCAAUCGCUCUGACACAGUUCACACCGCCAGCCUGGGCUGAGCUCGAGGUGAAUGUUAUUUGCUUUCCUCCCCACAGUUGUCACAGUAUUUGUGCCACUCCUGGAGCUUAUAGGAUGCGACGUCCCUAAACUAAUGCCUUUUGAUUGAAUGCGCAGACGAUACCACCCGCUACUGUCUCGAGCCUUGCCAGAGCAAUACCUCAGCAGAA